GUGAUGUAGGGUAGUAUCCUGCAAGUCUUA
rnacentral:tRNA from 1 species